rnacentral:tRNA from 1 species
GCCUGGGUGGCUCAGUCAGUUGAGCAUCUGACUUCAGCUCAGAUCAUGAUCUCACAGUCUGUGAGUUCAAGUUCCGUGUCAGGCU